rnacentral:rRNA from 1 species
AGAGUGGCAGACGGGUGAGUAACACGUGGGAAUCUACCCUUUACUACGGAAUAACGCAUGGAAACGUGUGCUAAUACCGUAUGUGUCCUUCGGGAGAAAGAUUUAUCGGUAAGGGAUGAGCCCGCGUUGGAUUAGCUAGUUGGUGGGGUAAAGGCCUACCAAGGCGACGAUCCAUAGCUGGUCUGAGAGGAUGAUCAGCCACAUUGGGACUGAGACACGGCCCAA